rnacentral:misc_RNA from 1 species
GAAACGCGAUAUGUAAUGUGAAUUGCAGAAUUCAGUGAAUCAUCGAAUCUUUGAACGCACAUGGCGCCCGCCAGUAUUCUGGCGGGCAUGCCUGUCUGAGCGUCAUUUCAACCCUCAUGCCCCUGUGGGCGUGGUGUUGGGGAUCGGCCAAGGCCCGCAAGGGACGGCCGGCCCCUAAAUCUAGUGGCGGACCCGCUGUGGCCUCCUCUGCGUAGUAGUAAUAUUCCGCAUUGAAGAGCAGCGAGCCCCUGCCGUUAAACCCCCAACUUCUCAAGGUUGACCUCAGAUCAGGUAGGAAUACCCGCUGAACUUAA